rnacentral:rRNA from 1 species
UACGAAGGGUGCAACCGUUGCUCGGAAUCAUUGGGCGUAAAGCGCACGUAGGCGGCUUCAAAAGUCGGAUGUGAAAUCCCUCGGCUCAACCGAGGACGUGCAUCCGAAACUGCGGAGCUUGAGUAUGGAAGAGGGUCGCGGAAUCCCCGGUGUAGAGGUGAAAUUCGUAGAUAUUCGCAAGAACACCAGUGGCGAAGGCGGCUUACUGGUCCGGUUCUGACGCUGAGGCGCGAAAGCGUGGGGAGCAAACAGG